rnacentral:rRNA from 1 species
CCUANGGGUGGCAGCAGUGAGGAAUUUUCCGCAAUGGGCUAACGCCUGACGGAGCAAUGCCGCGUGGAGGAGGAAGGCCUGUGGGUCGUAAACUCCUUUUCUCAGAGAAGAAGAUCUGACGGUAUCUGAGGAAUAAGCAUCGGCUAACUCUGUGCCAGCAGCCGCGGUAAUACAGGGGAUGCAAGCGUUAUCCGGAAUUAUUGGGCGUAAAGCGUCCUGAGGUGGCUUACCCAGUCGACUGUGAAAGCUCAAGGCUCAACCUUGAAACGGCAGUCGAAACUUGUAAGCUUGAGUACGGUAGAGGCAGAGGGAAUUCCCGGAGGAGAGGUGAAAUUCGUAGAUAUCGGGAGGAAGGCCAAAGGCGAAAGCACUCUGCUGGGCCGAUUACUGACACUGACAGACGAAAGCUAGGGGAGCGAAAGGGAUUAGAUACCCCGNUANUC